GUGCCAGCAGCCGCGGUAAUACGUAGGAUCCAAGCGUUGUCCGGAUUUACUGGGUGUAAAGGGUGCGCAGGCGGACUUGUUAGUCAGGAGUGAAAUCUCGGCGCUUAACGCCGAAACGUCUUUUGAUACUGCAAGUCUUGAAUAAGCGAGAGAUUCGUGGAAUUCCGAGUGUAGCAGUGAAAUGUGUAGAUAUUCGGAAGAACACCAGCGGCGAAGGCAGCGAAUUGGCGCUUUAUUGACGCUCAGGCACGAAAGCAUGGGGAUCAAACAGGAUUAGAAACCCCGGUAGUCC
rnacentral:rRNA from 1 species